CCAUCCCCAGGAUGGGUAGAGGUCUGGGCAACAGUGGUGAGAUGGUAACAGUGAGAGUUUAUACAUCAGUCUGUCUGUGCAGUUCAGUGACAUGUAUUUCAACUUGAGAAGGAACAGUUAAUCAAUAGACAGAGCGCUAUGGUUGUGGAUCCGCCUUUCCAAGCAGUCAAAUGAAAAUGAGUCUAAGCCCUAGAGGAAGCAAUCCACAGCUGAUGCUGUUCCAAGAAGAUCUGAGAGAGAGAGAGAGACAGAGCAAAGCAUUUUAGUGCCACUGUUUAACUGCCUGCUUGUAGAGAGAAACAAUAAUGAGCCUUUUGUGUAUGACACACACUAGCGUGAAAGAGCUGAGGAGCUGUUUCAAGUCGUGAUUACAAGACUGGAUUUUUGGCCCCACAUUAAUGGAGGAUGAUUCAGAGGAAGGUAGAGCAGAAACAGAAGAAGAGCAGCAGCUGAGCGUUUCCAGUAAGUUGAUAGAGCUGUGGAUGGAGAAGGAAAAGGACAGGCUGCUGCCAGGUUUCCACCAGGGAGCUGUAGGAUGCUGCCGUCUAUCGACCCUGCCUCCACUGAGAAGCACCAUCGCUUCAUCAUACAUCAGAGAAAAAUGAACAUCUACACAUAGUGUGACCUUCUUCUGCCCCGUGGCCCCUUAUAUCACAUCAUGUCACUGUUGACUCUUUGCUACAAACAGGCUUAAUCUAAGGCAUGUUUGUUUUAUUAAAGUAAAAAAAUAUGUUUCCCAGUCAUAGUUUCUACUCA